GGUUUGAUCUUUUUACAUGUUGAAACCAAACUGGUUUUGUUUGACGUUACGCCAACGUUGUGUGGUAUUGGUGUAUUAUUGCUUUUGCCAAAAUGCCGAGCGGAGGUGCAUUAAGUCGAUUUUUGGGUCCAAGACAUUAUGAAAUGGCCAGGAAUUGGAUUCCUUCGCUUGGGAUCUUUGGAGCGACCUGGGUAGGAACGCUAUUGUACUUUACAGACUGGAAGCUGGUUUUACAAUACAUGCCAUAUUACAACACCAAGUUUAAAUCAGAAGAAACCAAAUAACAGUCAACAAUCCAUUGAGAUACAUUUCAUGUUGUACAUGGAGAGGCAGAAUCUGUGACUAGGACAGUGUUAUCACAGUACCACAAACAAAUCAAUGGACUGAAACAUUUUGUGUGCUUGAAUAGGAAAAUUGUAUAAAUCUUUGUGCUGGUAAAUAAACCCCCAAAACUCA